CAGCACAAGGGAGUUUACUCCUGAGGUGGCGAGCGGCGGACGGGUGAGUAAUGCCUAGGGAUCUGCCCAGUCGAGGGGGAUAACAGUUGGAAACGACUGCUAAUACCGCAUACGCCCUACGGGGGAAAGGAGGGGACCUUCGGGCCUUCCGCGAUUGGAUGAACCUAGGUGGGAUUAGCUAGUUGGUGAGGUAAUGGCUCACCAAGGCGACGAUCCCUAGCUGUUCUGAGAGGAUGAUCAGCCACACUGGGACUGAGACACGGCCCAGACUCCUACGGGAGGCAGCAGUGGGGAAUAUUGCACAAUGGGGGAAACCCUGAUGCAGCCAUGCCGCGUGUGUGAAGAAGGCCUUCGGGUUGUAAAGCACUUUCAGUAGGGAGGAAAGGGUGAGUCUUAAUACGGCUCAUCUGUGACGUUACCUACAGAAGAAGGACCGGCUAACUCCGUGCCAGCAGCCGCGGUAAUACGGAGGGUCCGAGCGUUAAUCGGAAUUACUGGGCGUAAAGCGUGCGCAGGCGGUUUGUUAAGCGAGAUGUGAAAGCCCUGGGCUCAACCUAGGAAUAGCAUUUC
rnacentral:rRNA from 1 species